UCACGAAGAACUNCGAUUGCGAAGGCAGCUUGCUGGACUGUAACUGACGCUGAGGCACGAAAGCGUGGGGAUCAAACAGGAUUAGAUACCCUGGUAGNNCACGCCGUAAACGAUGAAUGCUAGCUGUUAGCGAUAUACUGUUAGCGGCACAGAGAAAUCGUUAAGCAUUCCACCUGGGGAGUACGCCGGCAACGGUGAAACUCAAAGGAAUUGACGGGGGCCCGCACAAGCGGAGGAACAUGUGGUUUAAUUCGAUGAUACGCGAGGAACCUUACCUGGGCUUAAAUUGCAGUGGAAUAACGUGGAAACAUGUUAGCCUUCGGGCCGCUGUGAAGGUGCUGCAUGGUUGUCGUCAGCUCGUGCCGUGAGGUGUCGGCUUAAGUGCCAUAACGAGCGCAACCCUCAUCGAUAGUUACUAACAGGUUAAGCUGAGGACUCUAUCGAGACUGCCGACGUAAGUCGUGAGGAAGGUGGGGAUGACGUCAAAUCAGCACGGCCCUUACGUCCAGGGCUACACACGUGUUACAAUGGGGGGUACAAAGGGCAGCUACCUGGCGACAGGAUGCUAAUCUCAAAAACCUCUCUCAGUUCGGAUUGGAGUCUGCAACCCGACUCCAUGAAGCUGGAUUCGCUAGUAAUCGCGCAUCAGCCACGGCGCGGUGAAUACGUUCCCGGGCCUUGUACACACCGCCCGUCAAGCCAUGGGAGCCGGGGGGACCUGAAGUAUGCAACCGUAAGGAGCGUCCUAGGGUAAAACUGGUGACUGGGGCU
rnacentral:rRNA from 1 species